ACGGUAGCUUAAGACCUCAUUGGAACCGCGUUCAAGAGAGAACCUCUCUGUCCAAGACACCCCGCUGGAGUCUCUCUCCUCUCUGGGCCGGACCCCAAGCCCAAAGACCGCCAGGAGCCCCCCGCUUGGAUUCCAGCUGCUGCAGCUGCUGUGGAAAUUCGCUGUGGCCACUGCCUCUUCCCGCUAUAAUCCCAGACCUCCAGUCAUUGGGCAGCUCCUCAGAGGCAAGAAGUCAACACCAUGGCAACCCGACAAGCCUAUCAAAUCACCAGCUGGUUUGACAGCAGCAAGGCUGCAGGCAGGAGUGGGCUGGGCAGGAGAGCAGAGUGGCCACUGUGCUCAGAAAUCGCUCCUCGCAAGCAUGGGGGAACCAUACAAAAUGCCGGAUUUUGAACCAUCGUCUGUCUUGGAUUGGCUGCGUGUAAAGCAAACUUCCUAGCACUGUGUUAUCUCUCAGACCCCAAGGUGCCAUUAUUUUGACAGUU